rnacentral:lncRNA from 1 species
UGAGAUUUUUUUUAAACCUGAUGUCACAUCCAGGACAAACAAGAGAAGUCCUUUUAACCAAAUAGGACUCCUAUAUAACAAGAGUCUUUGAGAAGAGAGUCGUAUGACCUAAGAUGUCCCCUCCAACUACUUUGGUCCAACACCAUAUGGAAGCUGCCAAGGCUUGAAGCAAUGGCCUAAGCUGGAUCUCGACCCCUUUUAGCCACAGCUGAAACUGGAAUGGCUGGGAUGCAGGACACCAAGUCCCAAGGCUGCACAGAGCAACAGGUCCCUGGGCCAGGCCCAGCAUUAGGCCUAUCAAGUGUCAUGCACAGCUCAAGAGGAAAUGCUAUCUGGAAAUCCCCCAACUCCCAUGGAAAUUCCCAGCUGGCUCCCUGUACACUGCAGAUACCUGAAGUGGUUUUGAAGACUGGGCAGCUAAGACCUAAGUGAAGAAGAAUUCCUCCCCUGCAAGGAUGACCAAGAACCCAGCCGCUCUGUUUCCUUCCCGACUGGAGUCCUCUUCUCCACUGGGACCAGCUGUAUCCACCUGACCUCCAAGAGCACUCUCCAUGCCACGCACAGGGCACUGAGUGAACACCCACCUCAUUUCUCCCAGCAUGGAAAGUCAUUCCAGGAAUUCUGUGGGCAGUGGAGAGGCCCUUCCCCUUCCAGCAUGGGAAAGCCAGGCUGGUUGGGAAGCAGCUCAACUCAAGCUGCUGCUGAUACAGGUGCCCUCUCCUAGCCCCUCCCUUGUCCCCACCUGCAUUUCACCUCAAUUUCUAUCUGCAUAUGUGUCAAGUUCUCCCAAAUCCAGCAGCCACCAUGCCUGGCCUCACCAAGGGCUUGCCUCAUCUGAGCUAUUUCAGUAUAAAUAUUG